AAUUAAGGGUAGAAACAAUCAAUGGACUACCUCUCUGGGCGCUCAGUGUGAAAAUAGAUCACCAAUUCCCCGUCGAUUUUUUCAGCACCACCGACACAUAUGGAAAAGAUCGCGCCAUCGGCAGCGUCAUCUCCAAAAAAAGACUGAGAGCAGGCUAGGAAGCCCUUGAAUCACACACUCAAGACGCUUACACGCUGAUGACUGUGCUCCGAAAGCACACCCCUAAGAGGACAAGCAGGAGAUUAUGAAGCCUUCUCAAAAUUAACCAAGAGCUAAUGGCAGUCUUCCCUUCUGAAAUGAAAUGGCUGAAGAGUCCCUGAAAAAGAAAAAAAAUGUGAAGAGAAAGGAACCUGAAAAAACAAUCUGCUUCCCUUGCAAUGUUCUGACCCUAGUGCCCCUAGCCACCCGUCAUCCCUCACUGUAUCGGGGCAGCGAAGCUCACACAAUGAGGAGGAAGCCACAAGUAGGAAGAGACAAGGACACAAGCCAGGGGGCUUGGCUGCUCGGU